AAUUCUUCAUUUUUCACAGACGCCCUGAGUAUGAAUACAUACAUUGAUCAAGGAAAUAUUGAGUAUUUAUAUUUACAAAGCAAAAAAAUAAAUGAAGAACUUCUCUUUUUCUAGAUUUUUGUUCAAGAUUGAUUUUGAUUUGACAUACCACAUCCUUCGGUUUGGAAUUAAAACCGACAAAAUAUGAAUAAAGCAUUAACAUUAAUUCAGUACUCAACAGAUCACAUACUAUUUAAAAGUACAAUUAUACUACUCACAAGUUACAACAUUCAACUUAAUCACUUAAAUAGGACAUGCCAUAGCACGUCAUUGCCUUUAUUAUAUGUAAAUCACAACCUUUCCGCCAAAAAAGAAACCAAAAAAGUCCUGAAAUCAGUUAGUAGUUUGUCAAUUCACAGUUUAUAAGGAGUUAAUUCUAAUUCAACCAGUCACCUUUCAGAACAUUGAUUAGGUGAAAAGAAGAGGAAAUAUCGACAGCUGAUAACAAAAUACAGGCGGGAGCGCUUGAACCUUCGCUUCCAGGUUUCUAGUACUAUAUGGAAGAACUCAAAAUUACAACAAUGACAUAACAUAAAUUCAAAAGGUCAUACACAAUAUGGGGCCAACAAAUAAAAGGACUUAAGCCUUCCUUUAUAUAUAAAAAUUAUCAUCUAUUGCCUAGUUUUAAAACAUAAAGGACCCUAAAAUAUAUUC
rnacentral:lncRNA from 1 species